rnacentral:tRNA from 1 species
GCGGGAUUUGUACAGUGGCAGUACAUUUGCUUCCCAAGCAAAAGACGCGAGUUCGAUUCUCGUAUCCCGCUCCA